rnacentral:rRNA from 1 species
AUACGGAGGGGGCUAGCGUUGUUCGGAAUUACUGGGCGUAAAGCGCGCGUAGGCGGAUUGAUCAGUCAGGGGUGAAAUCCCGAGGCUUAACCUCGGAACUGCCUUUGAUACUGUCAAUCUAGAGUUCGAGAGAGGUGAGUGGAAUUCCUAGUGUAGAGGUGAAAUUCGUAGAUAUUAGGAAGAACACCAGUGGCGAAGGCGGCUCACUGGCUCGAUACUGACGCUGAGGUGCGAAAGCGUGGGGAGCAAACAGGAUUAGAAACCCUAGUAGUCC